rnacentral:lncRNA from 1 species
GGAAAAUAAUAGUUAUGAGAUCACUAUCAUGUCUCUGUGUCUUCCCAUUAAUAACUUUUGAACUAAUUAGUAUAUUUUCAUGAAAUUUUAAUAAUAAUGGUCUACCUUUAAAAGUCAUCUUGAUACUGCAUCAAUUAACUCUCUAGCUAACUAUUUAAAAAUGGUGGACAUUCAAACCUCUGAGAUAUUUUCUUAAUAUCCUAAGACAUGAUUCCCAAAUGGUAUGGCACAAGAGGAUGGCAAGUGUGGCAGAAGAUUCAAAAACAAUCAAUGAUUUGGAGACAUUUUCAAAAAUUUAUUUGCUAAAAGUAAAUAUGAAGGUUAUGAAGUUGCAACAUGCUAAACAUUCCUCUGAGAAACCAAGUUUUAUUCCGGAUUCCAAUUUUUCAGGAAGAGUCUGGGCUCAGCUUAUUGAAAUUCAUCCUUCAAUGUUUUGGUGAAUUCCGUCAAGGGUAAUGUUAUCCCAUAAUAGAUACAGAAAUGGUCACUGUAUUAUCCUGUAUAAAGUUCAGCUGUGCAAUAGAAUUAAUCAACCAAUUCAAAA